rnacentral:lncRNA from 1 species
UUGGAAACUAUAUCAUUUCAUCGGAAUAUCUCAUCUUUUGAAAUAUCCAGAUUCGCCUCCUUGAAACUCUCAAAUUCGAAAACGAUAAAUUUCGGUCAUCAUUGAAUUCUUUCAAUCAUUUCAAACACUUUGUAGCGUCCGAAUAGAUUGUAGCCUGUGCUAAACCCUAUUCAUACGCCAUUCGUUUGAUUUGUCAUUUUCUUGGUACAAUUAUGUACUCAGAUUACGAUACACUAAAUUCUAUUGUCCAGUACCCUUUAAGUAAACGAUAUUGAUUUUGGAUAAUCAUUAACAAAUCAUUUUCCAUACUUCCAUUCACAAAUAGAUAUUUAUCAAUUCAGAAUCUCCCUCAAUUGAUCAAAGUAAGUUCCUUUUUGACAUUAAUCUUAUUGUUUCUCCAAGUCAUUUUAUUUCAAAAUUCAUGCCUAUCAAAUAUCUUUUGAUUCCAUCCCAUAAUAUAUUGUUUCUAUUAAAAGAAGAAACAUAACCCCAAGAAAAUAUCAUAGUCCAAAUCUCGAGGACGAGAUUUUUUAUUAAGGUGGGGAGGAUGUAACGACUCUCACUAAAAUUAAUACUUAUUAUGUUAAUUGUAUAAAAAGGAAACCCUAAUUAAGACACCCAAGUGAUUCUGCACAAACCCUAAAAUUUCCGGAAUGAUCGGAAUCAGGAUCAGGGCCCCUAAAACUCAAGGGGGGUUAAACCUAGUGGACGAUUUUCCUAAAAACGCGUUGCCUAAAUCUGAUUGGUCGAAUCUGUUGAUUCAGCAUAGCUAGUCCCAUGCGUGGCAACCCUAUAGUCGGUUCCAACCCUUUACGGACCGUAAAGGGUUAGGCUUACGGUCCGUAAGCAUGCCCAAAAUCGAGUAUAAAUAGCAGAACACUGGCACUUGAUUCUGGGCACUUGAACGACGAACAAAGUCGGAAAUUAGACGGAGUUAUGCUCUGUUUACCACAAUUAACACACACAAACCUCGAAACGCUGCCGCAAUCAGGGUAUUAACUCGAUCGCUGUUCAAUUCUUUUCUUUCCGUCAAGCUUUUAUUUUUGUAAAUAAUAGCUCGGGAUUUUACCCUCUAAAUCCCUAAACUCUGCCCGUUAUUAGGGUAAUAACUCUAAUCACUGGUACGAUACUUUAUCCAAUCGAUUAUAACUAUCCAACGAUUGUCUGAGUGCUGCUCAAAUUGAGUUAUACUUUUAUUCAUUAAGAUUUCGACUUGAAUGUUUGAGUGCUGUCCAAACUCGGGCUAUACUCUGUCAUUCGUUGUGAAUCCGCUGAAUUAUUAAGUAUUGCACUUGUAAAUCGUUGUGAGGGUUUUAUCUCGUGAUUAUCGUUAAAGUUGAAUUGAGUUAAUACACUAAUACGAGUUCCAUUGUGUCUAGAAAUUAGAACUCGUAAUCAGGAAACUGCUAGAAUACUUAAUAGUUAAAUAAACUUAGCAAUUAAGUUAGCUAAGUAGAUUAAUUAAUCUGUUAAUUAAAUUAAGUAUAAUUAAUUAAUUAGUUAAUCAAGAUUAAUUAAGUUAAACUAGAUUAAUUAUGUUAAGUACGAUUAAUUGAGUUAAGCAAGAUUAAUUAAGCUAAGUAAGAUCUACUAAUCACCUAAAUAGAAAUAUAUAAAAAUAUAAUAGAUAAUACCAAAGGAAGGUGCUAGGAAGGUAUAAGAGGAUAGAUAUCUGUGGAUAGGAAGCUUCCUAGAAGUUGUAUAAGUAACUUCCUAGAAAAGCUAUAGGAAACUUCCUAGAAAUACAAGGGAAACUUCCUAGAAAUUUCCUAUUUCCUACCUAUAAAUAGGAAGCUUAGGAUUCAUUUUUCUUUGCUCAUUUCUUUCUUCUUCUCUCUAUACGUUGGUGUUCUAACCAAUAAUCAUUCAAUCGCUAUUACGAUUCAUUUUCCGACCGAUCAAUAUAUCCAAUGGAUGUUUAAGUGCCGCCCACAUUAGGGUUAUACUUUGUCGUUCGUCGUUAAUUCGAUGAAUGUUUAAGUAUCGCAUUUGUCGUUCGUUGUGAGAAUUUGAUCUCGUGAGUUAUCGUAAAAGCUGUAUUGAUCAUUAACCCGGUUUUUGUGAAAUUCGUUAAGGUUCGAAUCUCAUGACUACCGUUAAGGUUUGAUUUGGGUUUUACACCAAUACGUAUUCCAUUCUGUUAAACUAUGUAUUUAACUACCAAAAAUACUCCCAACUACACCCUUACAAUCAAACAAACUAUUAAAUCAUCAGAAGAUCCAGAAUAAUAAAGUGCAUGCUUAAUUAUCGGAAGAAGUAGAAUCAAGAAGUUUGUUAACUCAAUCCUGCAUGCUGAUUUGUGAAAUUAUAAUUACAGUGAUUAAGUUGAUGUAAUCACCAAAUACAGCCAGUAUGUGGGGGUAUUGUGCACAUUACUACAGUUUAAAUCAUUUUAGGUGGGCGAACCUAAUUUUAAUUGAUUUACGUCAUUCAUUGGGGCAGCCAAUGGUGAUAUGACCACUGUCACAGAUCCGGUCGAGUGACAAAUACUGUGGGUAGUUGGUUGAUAUCAGAAACAUGCGUAAAAGAUCUUAACACUGUGUAUUAAAAUAAAUGUGUCAUUUUCAGUAAAAUGAAUGAUUCACUCAGUAUUUCCCGCUGACAAAACCUUUUUAAAACACGUUUCAGGUAAUUACAGUAGAUUGGAGUAAGGAUUGGAUCCGGCACUAAAAGACUUCAAGAAGUGGCUUAUUUUAUUAAUUA